CUGCAGCUGCGGCACUACUCUGCUGCAAGUUCCCUGAGAGAGCAAGCAACAUAUGGGGUGCUGAAGGGUAGUAUGAGGAAGAGAUCGGUGGCGGAGAUGCAGAGCUGGGGCUCCUUCGAGACGGUGGCUGCGUCACCGGUGGUGGUGGGUGGUGGCGGUGGUGAGGCUGAUACUCAAUUGUUGCUGUUGUUGCCGUUGUUGGAACGUGAGGGAGAUGAUGAUCUUGAUCAGGCUCACGGCGGUGGAAGUUACGAUGGCAGCCGCAGGCGGCGCAUUUUAGAGAAGUGGGGUCUGAGGGGGUGGCGGUCGGGGACGGCAUGAACUCUCCACAGCCGUCGAGUGCAUGGCCACCUAUGCUCGCUGCAUGGUUCUUGAGACAUUCUUUGUACGUUACAACAAUUGGGUGGUGGUGGUGGUGGUGGUGACGUUGGUGGUGCUGCGGC
rnacentral:lncRNA from 1 species